UUUUAUGGCGGCUGUGUGCGGGCGAACUUCGGUUCGGCCGGGCUUGUUCCUACCGGUUUCUCACUCCGCACAUAGCUGCCACCACU
rnacentral:antisense_RNA from 2 species